CUCCACUCUCAAAUUGUUUUUAUGAUUAUGAAAGUAACUAUAACUUACAGACAGUGGCAUAGAUUUAUACCCACUCGUUAUUUAAAGUUCACGAAAUGCCUUUAGCUCCCUGGAGAACAUGCACCAAAUAUGUAUAAAAUAAUAAUAAAAUAAUAAUAUGCCCAAGGAUAAACUGUGUUCCUAUGUUUUCAUACUGUGAGCAUCAUGGGCAUUUUACCGCACAGGUUGUUUAUAAAUGAGGCCCCCAGCUGUUCCUGAGAGACUCAGGCAGAAAAUGGGAGUAAACGGAGGAUAAUAAUCCUGAUUAUAAUAGGAAGCUGUUUCUAUAGUGACCCAGGGUGAGCUGCAUUCUCCCUCGGAGUAAACUGCUCAGUCAGUAGCUCCUGCAAAGUACCAUGUGGUAAAUUACCUCCUUCCAGGUACUAAAUGAUACCUUGAUGCCUUGGAAAAAUUAAUGGGUGAGUGGUUUACUUUGAGAGCAUUUUAUUCCCUCCGAGUCAACAUAGAAUUUGCCCAAUUAAGUUUUGGAGGGCAGAAUUUGCCCUAGAAAGAGCAGUUUAAAGGUUUAGAGCUAUCGAAGCAAUAUAAAAACUAGUCCCUGACGUAUAGUAAAGAUAGGACUUCGCACCAUGGGUAAGACUUUCAUUAUCAGCAGAGUUAUUGCAUUUCCCUCAGUGGCCAAAUGAAGGGGAAAGAAGGGCUGGGAGUUACUAUUAAAAUAUGAAAUACAGUAACUUUCUUUUUACAUUUAUUUACAGUCAACUAUCUCGUGGUCACUUCUGAAACAUGCCAAGUCAUUGGGCGGAUUACAGAGUCUCAUACGAGCCAGACUGUUGCCACAUCAGAUCAUAGGUUAUUUCACAGCUGUCAUGGUUUUGGAGCCAUCUUCCCUGUCACCAGUUACUGCAGCUCGCCCUUGCUGGUGGAUAUCUUUAUGCCAGACCCUCAUAACAUUUAAUCACCACAAGGUCGAGGUCACAUGAUGAGAGUUUCACACUGAAGAUUACAGCCAUGGCUUUCACCAAGCUGAAAAACAAGCUUUAACGUGAUGAUCCACACAAGACCAAACCUGAUGAGAAAUGUAGGGUGUUGCUAUGGCAAUUCCAUUCGUUGGAACUUUUCUCUGUUGGCUUCACUCUGACAUUACAUUCUAAAAAGAAUCGUAUGAAAAGGUGUGGUGGCUGUGAAGACAAACGCAAAGCCAAGAAGAUGGAACUUUCUUAUCUGUCUCCAAAGAGAGAAUGUCGUCAUAUCGUAAUGCCACCCUAAUGUAGUCGGAGGGCUGGCUUAGGAGGUGUCAUUCUGAGAUUUCAUUGAAACCCUGGGGUGUAUUUCUUUUUCACUUAAGUGGAAAAUUGGCGAUGCCAGAGUUAUUAGCAAAAUGACAA
rnacentral:lncRNA from 12 species